GUAGGUGGCAAGCGUUGUCCGGAAUUAUUGGGCGUAAAGCGCGCGCAGGCGGUUCUUUAAGUCUGAUGUGAAAGCCCACGGCUCAACCGUGGAGGGUCAUUGGAAACUGGAGAACUUGAGUACAGAAGAGGAAAGCGGAAUUCCACGUGUAGCGGUGAAAUGCGUAGAGAUGUGGAGGAACACCAGUGGCGAAGGCGGCUUUCUGGUCUGUAACUGACGCUGAGGCGCGAAAGCGUGGGGAGCAAACAGGAUUAGAUACCCUGGUAGUCCACGCCGUAAACGAUGAGUGCUAAGUGUUAGGGGGUUUUCCGCCCCCCUUAGUGCUGCGGCUAACGCAUUAAGCACUCCGCCUGGGGAGUACGGCCGCAAGGCUG
rnacentral:rRNA from 1 species